AACGAACGCUGGCGGCGUGGUUGAUACAUGCAAGUCGAACGGGAAAGGAGACUUCGGUCUCCGAGUAUAGUGGCGGACGGGUGAGUAAUAUAUGAUCAAUCUGCCCGAAAGAUCAGGAUAGCCAUCCGAAAGGAUGGGUAAUACUGGAUAAGCUCACAGCGAGGCAUCUCGCAGGGAGAAAAAGAUUGGGAUCUUCGGACCUUUCGCUUUCGGAUGAGAUUAUAUCCUAUCAGUUAGUUGGCGGGGUAACGGCCCACCAAGACUACGACGGGUAGCCGGCCUGAGAGGGUGAACGGCCACACUGGAACUGAGACACGGUCCAGACUCCUACGGGAGGCAGCAGUGCUGAAUUAUUCGCCAAUGCGCGAAAGCGUGACGGUGCGACGCCGCGUGCGGGACGAAGGCCUUCGGGUUGUAAACCGCUGUCAAGGAAUAGAAAACCAUGGUGGUUAAUAGCCAUCAUGCUGAUCAUUCCUAAAGGAAGCACAGGCUAAUCUCGUGCCAGCAGCCGCCGUAAAAC
rnacentral:rRNA from 1 species